AUUGAACGCUGGCGGCAUGCCUUACACAUGCAAGUCGAACGGCAGCGGACCUUCGGGUGCCGGCGAGUGGCGAACGGGUGAGUAAUAUAUCGGAACGUACCUUUCAGUGGGGGAUAACGUAGCGAAAGUUACGCUAAUACCGCAUAUUCUGUGAGCAGGAAAGCAGGGGAUCGCAAGACCUUGCGCUGAUUGAGCGGCCGAUAUCAGAUUAGCUAGUUGGUGAGGUAAAGGCUCACCAAGGCGACGAUCUGUAGCGGGUCUGAGAGGAUGAUCCGCCACACUGGAACUGAGACACGGUCCAGACUCCUACGGGAGGCAGCAGUGGGGAAUUUUGGACAAUGGGCGCAAGCCUGAUCCAGCCAUGCCGCGUGUGUGAAGAAGGCCUUAGGGUUGUAAAGCACUUUCAUUGGGGAGAAAGGCUGUUUGGUUAAUACCCAAGCAGAUUGAUGUUACCCAAAG
rnacentral:rRNA from 1 species